GACCAUUCGGCGAAUUUUAUAUGCCAAAGUUUUUAAAUAAGAUAACAUGGAUGAUAUUCCAGAGUUUUUACUGUCUAAAUUUCUCAUUAUUGGCAAAAAUGCGUCCACAUACGUCCCUUUUUUGUAAUGGGUGCAAUUUAAUUAUGUAUAAAUGUUGCAUUUAGAAUCUGAAUAUGAAAGUACUAUACCAUCAGCAAAAGAAUCAUUGGCUUACAUGUCUGGCGGUUAGUCUUAUUAAAUCCCAUGUUUCUUUGAAACCAUUUGCAAUGUGGUUUAUUUGCUGUAAACAAGGCUCAUCAUGUUAUAUAUAUUUUAUGUUAUUCAAAAACUUCUUACUUCAAUCAAUUUUAUAUUAUUAACUGAUUGACCUUAAUGUAAUACAAGGGUUGAAUUAAGAGAGCGAAUUACAAUUUUUGUAAAAAUAUCUGGUCAUCAAAGUAUCAGUUGAUGGAAAACCAUAAAUUUAUGGAAGAGGCUUUAAUUUGUUAGGUGAACUAGCUACAAAUGAAACUUUGAAGACUAGAUAUUCUAUAAUUCUAGACUUUUUAUCUAGAUGAUAUAUAGAUAAAUUAUGAUUAACUAGAUAGUUUUAUAAUUUGUGAUCGUUUAAUUUAACCGUUUUAAGAUAAUUAAUUCUUUUUUGUUAAUAAAAAUAAUUAUUUCUGAGUAUAAUGUUUUGACCAAUCUCCUGCUAAAAUUCUUGACUAUCAUUCAUAUGUCAUAUUUUACUAUUAAUUUUUCUCAGAAACAGCUGUAUUUCCAAUUGAACCGACUUCAAAAAAGGUAUCAAAAUGUGUACAUUGUCAAGUUUGAACUUCUGAAAAGAGGCACCUAUUAACACACAAAAAACUUGGAAGAAAACUGCUAAAUGACUCAAGUUUUAGCGUAGCGCAUCUAACCAUUUUGCAGCUGUAGGACUCAAGGAUAGUGCUUUUAUAUAAGAUGUUUGUUUAAUUUCAACAAUGUGAACGAUUUAGAUUAAUCAAAUAAGCACUACGUUAAAGGACGCAUGUUUUAGAUCCCUUUGAGAAGCUACGGUUUCCACUAAGCGAUGCUGAGUACCAGAAACUGUCACUUGGUCUCUUGUGGGAGAUAAAAGAAAACGUUGUAAAUUGUUGUUGGCCAACUGAAGAAAAGGAUAACCAUGCAAUAAAAAUGAUGGCAACGAUGGAAGAUUUUAAUGCCUUUGAAAGAGAGUUGUUAGACGAACAGAAACGUUCAAUCUUGAAAAUCUUUACGUCAAGUCCGUGGUUUGGAUGCGAAAGACCAAGUAAUAUUGAUACUGGAAAGACUGUUUACCGUUGGACUUCUGUCCCAAUUUAAGAACGCCCCUGAUCAAAUCGGGGGGUUGCGUAGGCAACGCCAAGAAACAGAGGAGAAAGCUCAAGAAACAGAGGAAAAA